rnacentral:rRNA from 1 species
AACGAACGCUGGCGGCAGGCUUAACACAUGCAAGUCGAGCGGGCGUAGCAAUACGUCAGCGGCAGACGGGUGAGUAACGCGUGGGAACAUACCUUUUGGUUCGGAACAACACAGGGAAACUUGUGCUAAUACCGGAUAAGCUCUUACGGGGAAGAUUUAUCGCCGAAAGAUUGGCCCGCGUCUGAUUAGCUAGUUGGUGAGGUAAUGGCUCACCGAAGGCGACGAUCAGUAGCGGGUCUGAGAGGAUGAUCAGCCACAUUGGGACUGAGACACGGCCCAAACUCCUACGGGAGGCAGCAGU